rnacentral:rRNA from 1 species
GGGUUGUGAGGUUAAGCGACUAAGCGUACACGGUGGAUGCCCUGGCAGUCAGAGGCGAUGAAGGACGUGCUAAUCUGCGAUAAGCGUCGGUAAGGUGAUAUGAACCGUUAUAACCGGCGAUUUCCGAAUGGGGAAACCCAGUGUGAUUCGUCACACUAUCAUUAACUGAAUCCAUAGGUUAAUGAGGCGAACCGGGGGAACUGAAACAUCUAAGUACCCCGAGGAAAAGAAAUCAACCGAGAUUCCCCCAGUAGCGGCGAGCGAACGGGGAGCAGCCCAGAGCCUGAAUCAGUGUGUGUGUUAGUGGAAGCGUCUGGAAAGGCGCGCGAUACAGGGUGACAGCCCCGUACACAAAAAUGCACAUACUGUGAGCUCGAUGAGUAGGGCGGGACACGUGGUAUCCUGUCUGAAUAUGGGGGGACCAUCCUCCAAGGCUAAAUACUCCUGACUGACCGAUAGUGAACCAGUACCGUGAGGGAAAGGCGAAAAGAACCCCGGCGAGGGGAGUGAAAAAGAACCUGAAACCGUGUACGUACAAGCAGUGGGAGCACGCUUAGGCGUGUGACUGCGUACCUUUUGUAUAAUGGGUCAGCGACUUAUAUUCUGUAGCAAGGUUAACCGAAUAGGGGAGCCGAAGGGAAACCGAGUCUUAACUGGGCGUUAAGUUGCAGGGUAUAGACCCGAAACCCGGUGAUCUAGCCAUGGGCAGGUUGAAGGUUGGGUAACACUAACUGGAGGACCGAACCGACUAAUGUUGAAAAAUUAGCGGAUGACUUGUGGCUGGGGGUGAAAGGCCAAUCAAACCGGGAGAUAGCUGGUUCUCCCCGAAAGCUAUUUAGGUAGCGCCUCGUGAAUUCAUCUCCGGGGGUAGAGCACUGUUUCGGCAAGGGGGUCAUCCCGACUUACCAACCCGAUGCAAACUGCGAAUACCGGAGAAUGUUAUCACGGGAGACACACGGCGGGUGCUAACGUCCGUCGUGAAGAGGGAAACAACCCAGACCGCCAGCUAAGGUCCCAAAGUCAUGGUUAAGUGGGAAACGAUGUGGGAAGGCCCAGACAGCCAGGAUGUUGGCUUAGAAGCAGCCAUCAUUUAAAGAAAGCGUAAUAGCUCACUGGUCGAGUCGGCCUGCGCGGAAGAUGUAACGGGGCUAAACCAUGCACCGAAGCUGCGGCAGCGACGCUUAUGCGUUGUUGGGUAGGGGAGCGUUCUGUAAGCCUGUGAAGGUGUACUGUGAGGUAUGCUGGAGGUAUCAGAAGUGCGAAUGCUGACAUAAGUAACGAUAAAGCGGGUGAAAAGCCCGCUCGCCGGAAGACCAAGGGUUCCUGUCCAACGUUAAUCGGGGCAGGGUGAGUCGACCCCUAAGGCGAGGCCGAAAGGCGUAGUCGAUGGGAAACAGGUUAAUAUUCCUGUACUUGGUGUUACUGCGAAGGGGGGACGGAGAAGGCUAUGUUGGCCGGGCGACGGUUGUCCCGGUUUAAGCGUGUAGGCUGGUUUUCCAGGCAAAUCCGGAAAAUCAAGGCUGAGGCGUGAUGACGAGGCACUACGGUGCUGAAGCAACAAAUGCCCUGCUUCCAGGAAAAGCCUCUAAGCAUCAGGUAACAUCAAAUCGUACCCCAAACCGACACAGGUGGUCAGGUAGAGAAUACCAAGGCGCUUGAGAGAACUCGGGUGAAGGAACUAGGCAAAAUGGUGCCGUAACUUCGGGAGAAGGCACGCUGAUAUGUAGGUGAAGUCCCUCGCGGAUGGAGCUGAAAUCAGUCGAAGAUACCAGCUGGCUGCAACUGUUUAUUAAAAACACAGCACUGUGCAAACACGAAAGUGGACGUAUACGGUGUGACGCCUGCCCGGUGCCGGAAGGUUAAUUGAUGGGGUUAGCGCAAGCGAAGCUCUUGAUCGAAGCCCCGGUAAACGGCGGCCGUAACUAUAACGGUCCUAAGGUAGCGAAAUUCCUUGUCGGGUAAGUUCCGACCUGCACGAAUGGCGUAAUGAUGGCCAGGCUGUCUCCACCCGAGACUCAGUGAAAUUGAACUCGCUGUGAAGAUGCAGUGUACCCGCGGCAAGACGGAAAGACCCCGUGAACCUUUACUAUAGCUUGACACUGAACAUUGAGCCUUGAUGUGUAGGAUAGGUGGGAGGCUUUGAAGUGUGGACGCCAGUCUGCAUGGAGCCGACCUUGAAAUACCACCCUUUAAUGUUUGAUGUUCUAACGUGGACCCGUAAUCCGGGUUGCGGACAGUGUCUGGUGGGUAGUUUGACUGGGGCGGUCUCCUCCUAAAGAGUAACGGAGGAGCACGAAGGUUGGCUAAUCCUGGUCGGACAUCAGGAGGUUAGUGCAAUGGCAUAAGCCAGCUUGACUGCGAGCGUGACGGCGCGAGCAGGUGCGAAAGCAGGUCAUAGUGAUCCGGUGGUUCUGAAUGGAAGGGCCAUCGCUCAACGGAUAAAAGGUACUCCGGGGAUAACAGGCUGAUACCGCCCAAGAGUUCAUAUCGACGGCGGUGUUUGGCACCUCGAUGUCGGCUCAUCACAUCCUGGGGCUGAAGUAGGUCCCAAGGGUAUGGCUGUUCGCCAUUUAAAGUGGUACGCGAGCUGGGUUUAGAACGUCGUGAGACAGUUCGGUCCCUAUCUGCCGUGGGCGCUGGAGAAUUGAGGGGGGCUGCUCCUAGUACGAGAGGACCGGAGUGGACGCAUCACUGGUGUUCGGGUUGUCAUGCCAAUGGCACUGCCCGGUAGCUAAAUGCGGAAGAGAUAAGUGCUGAAAGCAUCUAAGCACGAAACUUGCCCCGAGAUGAGUUCUCCCUGACUCCUUGAGAGUCCUGAAGGAACGUUGAAGACGACGACGUUGAUAGGCCGGGUGUGUAAGCGCAGUGAUGCGUUGAGCUAACCGGUACUAAUGAACCGUGAGGCUUAACCUUACAACGCCGAAGCUGUU